CCCAGCUCUACAUCUUGUUUCACCAGACGUUUUGACCAGAUAAUCUAUCUGAAGCUAAGCCAGUUUAGGCCUGCCCAGUAUCUGGAUACGUGACUAACUGGGAAAGCUGGGUUGCUGCUGGGA
rnacentral:rRNA from 1 species